GAUAAACGCUGGCGGCGUGCAUAACACAUGCAAGUCGAACGAUGAAACUUAGUUGAUUUCUUCGGAAUGAAAUUAAGUGGAUUAGUGGCGAACGGGUGAGUAACACGUGAGUAACCUGCUUUACACAAGGGGAUAGCCUUUGGAAACGAAGAAUAAUACCCUAUGACGUCAAAAUAUCGCAUGAUAUAGUGACCAAAGAUUUAUCGGUGUAAGAUGGACUUGCGUCUGAUUAGCUAGUUGGUGAGAUAAAAGUCCACCAAGGCGACGAUCAGUAGCCGGCUUGAGAGAGUGUACGGCCACAUUGGGACUGAGACACGGCCCAAACUCCUACGGGAGGCAGCAGUGGGGAAUUUUGCACAAUGGGGGAAACCCUGAUGCAGCGACGCCGCGUGAUUUAGAAGGCCUUCGGGUUGUAAAAAUCUUUUUUAUGGGAUGAAAAUGACAGUACCAUAAGAAUAAGGUCCGGCUAAAUACGUGCCAGCAGCCGCGGUAAUACGUAUGGACCGAGCGUUGUCCGGAAUCAUUGGGCGUAAAGGGUACGUAGGCGGCCUAGUAAGUUAGAAGUGAAAUAAUAUAGCUCAACUAUAUAAAGCUUUUAAAACUGUUAGGCUUGAGAGAUGAAAGGGAAAGUGGAAUUCCUAGUGUAGCGGUGAAAUGCGCAGAUAUUAGGAAGAAUACCGGUGGCGAAGGCGACUUUCUGGUCAUCAUCUGACGCUGAGGUACGAAAGCGUGGGUAGCAAACAGG
rnacentral:rRNA from 1 species